rnacentral:rRNA from 1 species
UGUUAGGGCACGACACCGGAGAGGGAGCCUGAGAAACGGCUACCACAUCCAAGGAUGGCAGCAGGCGCGCAAAUUACCCAAUCCCGACACGGGGAGGUAGUGACAAUAAAUAACAAUACGGGGUUCUUUAGGAUCUCGUAAUUGGAAUGGAUUACAAUUUAAAUCUCUUAACGAGGAACAAUUGGAGGGCAAGUCUGGUGCCAGCAGCCGCGGUAAUUCCAGCUCCAAUAGCGUAUAUUAAAGUUGUUGCAGUUAAAAAGCUCGUAGUUGAAUUUCGGGGUUAGUAGGUUGGUCAUGCCUCUGGUAUGUACUGGUCUCACUGAUUCCUCCUUCCUGAUGAACCUUAAUGCCAUUAAUUUGGUGUUUUGGGGAAUUUGGACUGUUACUUUGAAAAAAUUAGAGUGUUUAAAGCAAGCUAACGCUUGAAUACAUUAGCAUGGAAUAAUGAAAUAGGACGUUCGAUCCUAUUUUGUUGGUUUCUAGGAUUGACGUAAUGAUUAAUAGGGAUAGUUGGGGGCAUUA